CUACAGUCAUGAAUCCUGCUGAAACCUCCACUACUAGUGCAGCAGAAACUUCUACAACAACAGGGACUUCCAGAAUCCCAACAAUUCCUGUUGAAACAUACACCACUAGUACCACAGACACAUAUUUAACAACAGAGACUUCCACAAACCCAACAGUACCUGCUGAAACAUCCACCAAUAGUGCAGCAGAAACAUCUUCAACAGAGACUUCCACAAUCACAACAAUUCCUGCUGAAACCUUUACUAUCAGUGUAACAGAAACAUCUACAACAACAGAGACUUCCACAAUCAAGACUCCUGCUGAAACAUCCACCACUAGUGCAACAGAAACAUCUACAACAACAGAGACUUCCACAAUCACUACUUCUGCUGAAAUAUCUACUAUCAGUGAAACAGAAACAUCUACAACAAAAGAGUCUUCAACAAUAAUGAUUCCUGCUGAAACACCCACCACUAGUGUAGCAGAAAUAUUUUCAACAACAGAGACUUCAACAUUCACAACACCUCCGGGUGAAACAUCCACUAUUAGUGUAGCAGAAACAUCUAUAACAACAGAGACUACUACAAUCACACCUUCUCCUGCUAAAACAUCCACAACUAGUGUAGCAGUAACAUCUACAACAAUGGAGACUUUCACAAUCACGACUCCUGCUGAAACAUCCACUAUUAGUGUAGCAGAAAUAUCUUCAACAACAGAGAUUUCCACAAUCACUAUUCUUGCUGAAACAUCCACCUCUAGUGGAGCAGAAACAUCUACUACCAAAGAGAUUUCUACAGUCAUGAAUCCUGCUGAAACCUCCACUACUAGUGCAGCAGAAACUUCUACAACAACAGGGACUUCCAGAAUCCCAACAAUUCCUGUUGAAACAUACACCACUAGUACCACAGACACAUAUUUAACAACAGAGACUUCCACAAACCCAACAAUACCUGCUGAAACAUCCACCAAUAGUGCAGCAGAAACAUAUACUACAACAGAGACUUCCAAAACAACGACUCCUGCUGAAACAUCCAAUACUAGUGCAGCAGAAAAAUAUACUACACAGAUAUCCACCAUCACAAAAAUUCCUGCUGAAACAUCCACCACUAGUGCUGCAGAAACGUCUUCAACAACAGAGACUUCCACAAUCACAACAAUUCCUGCUGAAACCUCUACUAUCAAUGUAACACAAACAUCUACAACAACAGAGAGUUCCACAAUCACAACAAUUCCAGCUGAAACAUCCACUAUCAGUGCAGCAGAAAUAUCUACAACAGAGACUUCAACAAUCACAAUAAUUCCAGCUGAAACAUCCACUACUAGUGCAGCAGAAACAUCUACAACAACAGAGACUUCCAUAAUCAAAUCAACUACACCUGAAAUAUCCACCCCUAGUGAGGCAGAAAUAUCUACUACAAAAGAAACAUCCACAAUCAGGACUCCUGCUGAAACAUCCUCCGUUAGUGUAGCAGAAAUAUCUUCAACAACAGAGACUUCCACAAUCCCAACAUUACCUGCUGAAACACCCACAACUAGUGCAACAGAAACAUCUUCUACAACAGAGAAUUCCACAAUAAAGACUCCUUCUGAAACAUCCAGAACUAGUACAGCAGAAACAUCUGCAACCACAGAGACUUCAACAAUAACGACUCCCACUGAAACAUCCACCACUAGUAAAGCAGAAACAUCUUCAACAACAGAUAAUUUCACAAUCACAUCAACUCCUGCUGAAACACCCACAACUAGUGCAACAGAAACAUCUACUACAACAGAGAAUUCCACAAUAAAGACUCCUUCUGAAACAUCCAGAACUAGUGCAGCAGAAACAUCUACAACAACAGAGACUUCCACAACAAUGACAAUUGCUGAAACAUUAACCACUAGUGCAUCAGAAACAUCUACAACAACAGAGACUUCCACAAUCACUACUUCUGCUGAAAUAUCUACUAUCAGUGAAACAGAAAUAUCUACAACAAAAGAGUCUUCAACAAUAACGAUUCCUGCUGAAAAACCCACCCCUAGUGUAGCAGAAACAUCUAUAACAACAGAGACUGCUACAUUCACAUCUUCUCCUGCUGAAACACCCAACACUAGUGUAGCAGAAAUAUUUUCAACAACAGAGACUUCCACAAUCACAACAAUUCCUGCUGAAACCUCUACUAUCAGUGUAGCAGAAACAUCUACAACAACAGAGACUUCAACACUCACAACAACUGCAGCUGAAAUAUCCACUUUUAGUGUUGCAGAAACAUCUACAACAACAGAGAGUUUCACAAUCACUAUUCCUGCUGAAACAUCCACCUCUAAUGCAGCAGAAACAUUUACAACAACAGAGACUUCUACAAUAACUACUCCUGCUGAAACAUCCACCAGUAGUGCAGCAGAAACAUCUACUACAACAGAGACUUCCACAACAACGACUCCUGCUGAAACAUCCACUACUAGUGCAGCAGAAAAAUCUACUACACAGAUAUCCACCAUCACAACAAUUCCUGCUGAAACAUCCACCACUAGUGCAGCAGAAACAUCUACAACAACAGAGACUUCCAUAAUCACUACUCCUGCUGAAAUAUCUACUACUAGUGCUGCAGAAACAUUUACAACAACAGAGACUUCCACAAUCACAACAAUUCCUUCUGAAACAUCCACUAUCCGUGUAGCAGAAACAUCUACAACAACAGAGACUUCAACUAUCAAAUCAACUACACCUGAAAUAUCCACCCCUAGUGAAGCAGAAAUAUCUACUACAAAAGAGACAUCCACAAUCAUGACUCCUGCUGAAACAUCCUCCGUUAGUGUAGCAGAAACAUCUUCUACAACAGGGAAUUCCACAAUAAAGACUCCUGCUGAAACAUCCAGAACUAGUACAGCAGAAACAUCUGCAACCACAGAGACUUCCACAAUAACGACUCCUGCUGAAACAUCCACCACUAGUGUAGCAGAAAUAUCUUCAACAACAGAGACUUCC
ensembl:lncRNA